rnacentral:pre_miRNA from 1 species
UAGGUAAAGAAAGAGAAAUGAUUGUAUGAAACAGAUAUAUUAUUAUUUUUUAAUAAUUUUAUGUCACAUCAAUAAUUUAAUCCUGAAUUUCAGGAUUUUAAUUUGGAUUUAAAUUUUUUUAAGAUAAAAAUGUUGAUGUAGCAUAAAGCUAUUAGAAAAAGAGAUAUAGAUGACGUGACGUCACUGUUUCAUAUAAUCUUUUUUUUCAGAGAAAU